rnacentral:rRNA from 1 species
AUGGCCGGCCAGCGUAACCGCAUCCGCCGUCAGCGAGCCAAGGCUAGGUCGAUGUCGGAGGCGGAGGCCGGGGCGGCGAGGGUGCCAGAGGUCGAGGUCGACGGGGAGGUUGUAACUGCUGGCGAGAGGAACUGCGUCGUCCAGCGCAAAAUCCCUCUCUCACCCAAAGAGGAACUGCGGCGGAGCCUGAUUAGCCAGAUCCGCGGCUACUACCUCGACGCCAUCUCCCGCCUGCCCACCACCGAGCUCGCCACCACCCUAGCGCGCGGCCUCCUCGUCGCCGGUCACUGCUACGGCCCUCUGCACCCCGUCCACAACAUCAUCGUCAACUCCGUCUGGCACUCCGCCGCUUUCCCCAUGCGCCCCGGCGACCGGAUCGAUGCCGCCGUCGUCAGCAGCGAUACCCUAAGCCGCCUGGUUCAGCGCUCGCUUGAUGGACUGGUCGCCUCACUUCGCCAUCUCUGCCCAGGCCUCUCCGAUGACGACGACGCCCUCUGGCACCUCAGCCUCUCCCGCGCCGACCUCCGAGCCGCUGUUGCCUCCGCACGCGCGUUCCGUCCGACGGCCUCGGAGCUGGAAGCCGCCUUCGAAGCGGCUGCCAAGGCGGCGCGGCAUCCGAAAACCGCGGCACUUGCGCUCUUCGCCUCGUCCGUUGUACUUUCUGUGGAACGUGAUGUUGUCUCGCUGCUAAACAGCAAAUUCAGGCUUUCCUCGGCUGACAUUCUGCGCCUCUCCACCAUGUUGCUGCCUUCCCCACUACCAGAUGAACUGCCACACCCUCCUCUUGAAGAGCAGUCCACGACAGCCUUUAAACUUAUCGCUAGAAAAAGGAGUCACCUCACAAGAUGGUAUACUAGAUGGGUUGAAAUAGCGGACGCAGCGUUGCGCAAGUAUGCCCAGCAAACUGCGGAACAUUACCUGCUUCAUAUCAUCUAUGGAUUUGGUGAACUGCGGGAUGAGUUCUAUAUGGAGAAAUCUUGGUAACCCAAUUUCAUGGCGUGGUCAAAGGAUCCUUCUUGUGCUAAAGAAACGCCUGUGUUUUUAUUUGCUGAAACACUUCGUCUGUCUGGCUCCGACUAUUCUGAAGAGAACAUCACCUUGUGCUGUACAGUAGAGCCAUCACCCAGUGAAGCUGGUAGAUGCCAUGAAUGUCUUACCGGAAACUUCCAAAUUGACCACCCGGAUGAUUCUGAGAACUUCUCUGGUUGGCAGUACUACACCUUGGAUGGAACAGUCAAAGACCUGGAUUGCCCCAGUACAAGUGAUGCCGACUACAGGUGCUUCGACCCUGUCAGAGAUAUUGGUUUCGUGGAGUACCUGGAUCAAGAUUUUACCCAUUACAGACAAAACAUCGAUUUAGCUAUCAAUGGCUACUGCAGUGCAAUUAUGUGA